rnacentral:rRNA from 1 species
GGGAUCUUGCGACAAUGGGCGAAAGCCUGACGCAGCAACGCCGCGUGCGGGAUGACGGCCUUCGGGUUGUAAACCGCUUUUCGGGGGGAAGAGGAAGGACGGUACCCCCGGAAGAAGUCUCGGCUAACUACGUGCCAGCAGCCGCGGUAAAACGUAGGAGGCGAGCGUUGUCCGGAAUUAUUGGGCGUAAAGCGCACGUAGGCGGUUCUUUAAGUCUCAUGGUGAAAGGCUGGGGCUCAACCCCAAGCAAGCCGGGGAUACUGGAGGACUGGAGACAGGCAGAGGCCAGCGGAAUUCCGGGUGUAGCGGUGGAAUGCGUAGAGAUCCGGAAGAACACCGGAGGCGAAGGCGGCUGGCUGGGCCUGAUCUGACGCUGAGGUGCGAAAGCGUGGGGAGCGAA